CCUCCUCGUCGCCCUCCUCUCUCUCUCUCUCUCUCUCUCUCUCUCUCGCUAACCCCUCUCUUUCCCCAUCGCCCUACCCACGCCGGCCGGUUCCGGCAAGCUCCGCCCGCCGCACGCCCCCGAGCUCCCCAAGAUCUGUGCCACUGCGCCGCCUCCUCCUCCCCUCCACUUCUCUCCUCCUCUGCCCCCCACGCAUGGUCGCUGUCGCUCGUCUCUGUAGGAGAGAGAGGAUGAGAGGAAGAGAGAGAAGGAAGGAGAGGAGGGAGAAAGAGAGAGGAAAGAGGAGAUGGAGGUGUGUGGGCUGAUGGGAGAAGGUCUCACGCCGGCGUCGGCCUACGUCUGCGAGGUCGGGCAAGAUCUGGCGGUUGGCGGCGGCUCGAUCCGCUCCUGGAUCGGGAGCUGCGAGGAGACUGGGGCUCUUGGGCGUGCCAUGCGCUGGGGGGUGGAGGAGGCUGGUUUGGUGGUUGCUCAGGUUUGGAGCAGCAAGGAUAUGGGCUGCACUUUCUUGGAGCAGCAAGCAAUGGAGCCAAGGUGAAUAAGCAACACAUACUCGAUCGCACUGCUCAAACCAUACAUGCUUGGAAAAAAUUAAUGUGUUCUUAAGAUCUCUAUAGGAUUAAAUGUAUUUGUUUGCAUUACUUUCAUUCUCUGAAAAGAAUGGCGAAUCCAAGAUUUAGCUCCAAAUUAUUGCAUUUUUUUUCAAAAUAGGAUGAUCUUUCCUUGCUGAAUAGACAACAUAUAGGAUAAGAACGUGUAUGAUGCUGAUUUUGGUGGUUUGGACAUGGAUUUGAGGGUGGAGAAUGGCCACAUAAAGGAGGCAUUCAGGACUGUAAGUAUGAAUUAAAUACAUACUACAUAUCUGAUGAAAUGCAGGCACAAGGUGUUCUCGUUAUAGUUGGGUUCCUCAAUCUUUCUAAUGUUUUGUUUUGAUGUUGCAUCGUUUUUUUAUUGCAAGCAUUGAUAUAUGCGCUCAUGCUAGGCAAUAUAAGGUAUUGUCCCAUCAUUUUUUUUAUUGUAGGCACUGAAAAAUAAAAGAAAUAAGAGACCACAACAUGUGUUUAACGUACGUUCUUCUCGGUCCUUCUGUGGUUUUAUUUGUCGCCUAGGUUGCUGCUUACUAUGAAAAUUAUGUUAACUCACCUACUUUAUUUCCUUUCAUCAGCAUCUAUUUUGCUGCUUACAUUUUCUGCCUUUUUUCUGCAACGUCCAGGAUCUCCUAGGUUGGUGGAUCUGCGACGUUCCGGUUCCUGCUGUUGGUCAGCCGGUUCUUUGGUCGAGAGAUGGGUUAACUUGUUGCCGGCGGUGUCGUCCCACUGGUAGGGUUCCAGCAAGAUGCUCAAGAAAUUUCUCAUGAAAGUGGAUGAGUAACGUCAUGGCCAGGAUCUUCAAAGGGCCAAUGUUGCAUAGCCUUUACCCACUCUGCACUGCCGUAACAUCUCAAGCGACUACUCCCGGUACAUCUUGUGUUGAUCACGAGCAACACCAAGAGAGAUGUCUGGACUAUUUGCAUGCAGAUUACCUCCAGGUGAUUGAUUAUGAUGCGUAUGGUCUUUUCCAGCCAUGGCAGAUGCAGGCCUUCUCAAGCUGAUGAAAUUGGUUCCUUCCAUUUGUUAGCUGGACAGCUAUAGCUGCACAAUGCAAGGGUGAGACUACCAACCGGUGUAGGACAAGGUAUGCACAAGGCGUUGCGGGAAGAGGUAGUCAAAGGAGAUAGAUAUGUAGACGGCACAAUGUAGGCCAAGCGCUAGGGAUGAGGAUAUGGCGUGGCGUGAAGAGCUCGCGGCGAGGAUUGCUGUGUCCAACCUGCCGCCAAGAGGAAAUAGUCUGUGUGGUGCUUGUAAAUAGAGAGUAUUCUGGUAGAAAGGUACAUGAAAGAAUAGGGAAACUUCUGUCAUUUUCUUUGGUCUCUGAAAAAUAAAUGGUGAUAUGGGCUGAUGCAUUGCUAAAUUACAAGAUACAAACUCACUUCUCUUUUUUGAUUUUUGGUUUACUUCAUUGUGCUACAAUGGCUCUCCUAGGAAUGUUCUUCCAUGCUUUGAUGUGCACAAUCCAUAAAGUGCAUGCAUCCAGAAACCAAUUAGGAUUUUGUGUGUGUUAUCUUCUCAUAAGUCUUGUGCUCGUCCAAUAAGAAUAAGGUUUGGUGGUAUUGCUUUUGUCUGUCACCCGGUAGAUUUCAGACUUCAAGCUAGCUGCCGUUAUUUCAGGUUAUAUGUGCAAAUCCUUGGUGUGACAUGAUUGGUAACUGACCAUAAAUACGUUGCAAUCUGACAUGUCUAAUUCUUGAUUUAUGUGGUACCAUGGUCUAAAAAUUGGUCCUAAAGAUACAUGAUGUUUUUGUACAAAGUUGAGACAGUUAUUUUGGAACGGAGGGAGUAUUAGAUUAUUUUGUUCCUUUUUAAUUUGGUUCUAAAGAUAUAAUUUCAGAGUGAUCAUUUUGCAUCAGCCAAGCUUGCCGUUGUUACACAUAAUUGUUCUGUUGUCCUCAAUUCACUUUCUCGAUUUUUUAAUGCUACAAGCAUUAUUGUUCCAGUUUUUUUUUUGUUAUUGAUCAUGCCAUUUUUCUUUCUGCCUUUGUAGCUGAAAGAUUAGUGAGGCAGACUAAAUUCUGGACAUGUUCCAUGUGAGAGAAAUAGCAUGUUGAUUUUAUCUUGAAAAUAAUCAUAGCUAAGGGACGAGGUUCGUAACUGAGGGUCAUGUGCAGAGCUGGAGGAAGAAGUUGCGAGGCUUGGAACUCUCCUUGUGAAGGGCUCAGGGACAGCAUUGAGGACAAUGCCUCUUUAGUUGUAAUUGUGAUACUCCUGAUGUGCAAGUAAACACUCCUGUGAUACUCCUUAUGCUAAAAUGUUGGUUGUUAGUACAGAGGUGGUGACAUUAUUUGAUUCUCUGGUAUUGAUUUCAUGAUUUGUGGUUAAUACAUGAUGUAAUACAAUCCACAUUGCAUUAUAUUUCCAGUUACAUCUCCUA